CUUUCUUCUGCUUUUCUUCUCCUUUGCGGAAGAUCAGACAGCUACAGAAGCUGGCCUCCUGGCCCCGGUACAGUGGAAGCCAUGGGAGAGAUAAACGCAAGGCAAGAACAAAUAUGAAGGCCGCCCUCCCUCGUCGUCUUCCGGCUUCUCCUCCUUUUCCGGCUCCUGCACCUCCCCUUCCUCUCCCGUUCCACUGCCGUCAGCUCCCCCCGCUCCCAUCCCCGGCUGCGGGCCGGGGGCUCUGGGACACUGCGUGAACGGGGAAGAAGGGAGAAGACGGGGCGGACCCCCAGACGGAGUGGCAGAGAAGGGGUGUUCCAGCAGACGGGAAAGGCCAAGUUGCCACUUCCAGAAUGGCAUUCUGCAGUGGAGUUGGACAGGAACAGCUCGCACACUCCGUUGGGAAGCCGUUCUGCAUCAUCCUAUGGUGAUUCUCGUCUACCUCUCACCCAGCUCCAGGCUGUGGAAAUUCUCUUAUUCUGUCUGCAUUCAUCACUCACCAGCACCGGCACGAGGAAUAGCCUUACAAGUGUGAGGAAUGUGGGAAGAGGGUUCAGAGCAUCUCGGAUCUCAUGAAACAUCAGUGGAUGCUCUCGGGAAAAUCUCUUCCCAGCCCCCUGCUCCUGUCAGGCUACACCAUGAUCUGAGAAAUACUUGUUUAGGCCUCGGCCUUGACAAACAGCCCUUGGGCUCAACUCUUCUUGAGUUUAUCACCAACAUUGUUCCAGGAACUGGUGCUGUCCAACGAGCUCCAACAGCCUUGGAAACUUUUUUUUUUUUUUUUCCCCUGAAUAACAUCCCAAAUGGGAUCAUAUUUUAGUUCUCAACCUUUCCCAUAAAGUUACCAACCUGAGCUGGGGCUAGGAUGGAAAACAUCCUAGAAAGUCACCAACCUGAGCUGGGGCUAGGAUGGAAAAUGUCUGUGACUAAAGCCCAUCCCUUGGACCCUAUAAACAGCAGCCCUGAGUGAGACCCUUGGAACUCUCCUGGGCUGCAGCACCUCUGACAGCAGCCAGGAACUCUCCUGUUUUGCUGCACUCGGGGCAUCCCCAAAUGGUCCUGGGCUGAGCGCCCCCCCCCCCCCCACUCCUCGAGGCUCUGCCCUGCACCUGGUGGGAAGAUGCAAAGGCAUCUGAAGGGAGAAUUCCACUGGAUUCCAGGGGAAUUUUCCACAGGGACCUCAUACAGACUCCUCCUGUCCGUGUGUGUGUGACACUGAAUAUGCCAUAGCAAAUGUCCUAGGAAUGCUGCUCUCCUGGAGUGGGAAGUACGUAAGAUGUGUAAGUCAGUUGGGCCUGUGGGUAUGUUCCUGUUGUGGUGUAAUAAAUUCUAUGUGAAGUUACUGAUUAAGUUUCAGUUAAGUGCUGUUAAGUGCUAUUGGGCCUUUAAGCAUAAACUGUUCAAAUCCAGGCUCAGUUCUGUACAGGGGUCUACUCUGACCCUUGUGACUCAACAGUGGGGUCUUCCAUAUUCCUUUUCAUCCUUACCCUUUUCUGUUUUUUUUUUUUCCCUCACUCCUCUCUCCUUCAGAAAUUCCUGAGCUACAUAAAUAGUUUAGGGCUUAUUUCAUUUUAGAUUUAUUGAUUUUGGAUUUUUGUUUCCUUUUUCUUGGUGUGCUUUAACCAAGUAAUCUCUUCCUCCUCUAUCCCUCCUUUUCCUCCUCCUCCAUCCCUUCUCCUCUUCUCCCCAGGACCAGCACCCACCCUUGGUCUCCUGUGCCUCCCAAACCCACAGCAUCCCACCAGAGGGGCAGGGAUGGAGCUGGGGCAGGUCGGACUGGGGCAGCGCUGGGCUCUUAGCUGCUCCUGCCCACACUCGGCCCCCACCACAGCUGCCACUGCCAGGACAGCAUGGCAGGCCCAGCUGGAUGGCCUCCAUCUUCCCCCUCCCCAAAUUCCCCUCCUGGGGGGCACUGAAGGUGAGGGGCGGUGCAGGUGGGGUCCACAUGGGGAAUGUUGGGCACUGCAGGUCUGCCUGGCAACUGGUGAGUCAUCAGUCAAACCCCUGCAGAACUGGGGCAUACCCCACAACCCCUUCAGGAAUGGGGUCCUCAUUCAUCAUCCCCAACCUUCAGCUGUCUCAUUUCAGACCCCACCUCACCCCUCCCAAUCCCCAUCCCACCCCUCCCAAUUCCUAUCCCAUCUGCCCCAGUCCAUAUCCCACCUCUCUCGAUUCACAUCCCACCCCUCCCUCCCUUCCUUCCUUCCCCUCCAGGGUUUGGAGCGCUGUGGGAUUGAAUACUUUUGGGGUAAUAUUCAGUCAUUUUGAGGUGGGAUCGAGACAUUUUGGGCUGGGAUGGAGACACUUUCAGUGGCCACCUUCCUUGAGUGGUUUUGAAGUGAUGGAUAGAACCCCUCACCUUUUGGGAUGCAAAAUAAUGGAGGAAACUACUCCAAAUUUCCUCAAAAACCCCAAAUCCUCCUGAAUAUCCCCCAGACUACAAAGUCCUCCCCCGUCCCUGUAAAAUGGUGAGGUUUUAAACAUCUUGGAUGAGGUUCUUUAUUUUUACCCAAUUUUGGGUGUUUUUAAAGGAUGGAUCACAAGAAAAUAAAGGCCAAAAUUAAAGAAUUUAUGUGUCAGCAUUGUUUGAGUAUCCAUGGAGUUGGGUUGGGUUGGAUUGAGUUGGGUGGGUGAAAGAGCCUUUUUUGGAGGUGUCCUAGGGUGACACUAUGGUGCUUGUAUCCCCAGUUGUGUGUUCUGUUUAUGCCUGAUAUUAUGUUCUGUGCCUUCAGGACUGGCUCCAAAAAGUGAAGGUUUGUUUUGUCUUGUUAUCAGCCGGCUUACCUCCCCCCACAGUCUGUGUCUAGGAGAGAGGAUAGGGCUUGCUUGCUUGCUGGCUUGCUUUCACUUUGGUCUCGCUCCUGCUUCUUGCUUUUGCUUUUGCUCAUUAGUUAGUUUAGCUAGGCAGUCCAAUUUCUUUCUGGACUGUUUUUCUUUCCGUUUCCUGAAUACCAUUCGAACCUGCUCCGGACUGGGACCUGGGAAACACUGAGAAACACCGAGAGCCUGCAUUUUGUGACCUGCAGCAGCCAUCCCCAGUGCCGGAGACCGAGAACUGGGUGACCACUCCCAGGAGAGACUUUCUGAAUUUGUCAUCUCUUCAGAGCGGUGAAAGAGUUUUUGUCAUCUGGUGUUGUUGUUUUGUGCCAGGGAGUGUUUCUGUCUGUUAAAUAAACAGGGUUUUUUCCACUUG